rnacentral:rRNA from 1 species
AGCGGCGGACGGGUGAGUAAUGCCUGGGAAUAUGCCCUGAUGUGGGGGAUAACUAUUGGAAACGACAGCUAAUACCGCAUAAUCUCUUCGGAGCAAAGAGGGGGACCUUCGGGCCUCUCGCGUCAGGAUUAGCCCAGGUGGGAUUAGCUUGUUGGUGAGGUAAUGGCUCACCAAGGCAACGAUCCCUAGCUGGUCUGAGAGGAUGAUCAGCCACACUGGAACUGAGACACGGUCCAGACUCCUACGGGAGGCAGCAGUGGGGAAUAUUGCACAAUGGGGGAAACCCUGAUGCAGCCAUGCCGCGUGUGUGAAGAAGGCCUUCGGGUUGUAAAGCACUUUCAGUCGGGAGGAAGGUAGUGUAGUUAACACCUGCAUUAUUUGACGUUACCUACAGAAGAAGCACCGGCUAACUCCGUGCCAGCAGCCGCGGUAAUACGGAGGGUGCGAGCGUUAAUCGGAAUUACUGGGCGUAAAGCGCAUGCAGGCGGCCUGUUAAGUCAGAUGUGAAAGCCCGGGGCUUAACCUCGGAAUUGCAUUUGAAACUGGCAGG